UGCAAGCUUUUAGUUCAUCAUAUACAUAUAUAUUCUGACAAGCUUCUAAAUAGAAACAAACGGGACAACGUGAGAAACUAUUAUACAAGUGUCACAUAUGAAACAGUGUAGUUUCAUUUAUUCGUUGGACGUUCACGAGACACGAUUUUCGAUUUUUAAUAAUCUAUCUCUGGAGAAAUUACAGAUUAUUAACGUCGCUGCAAUGGAGUCAGCAAAAUGGAGUCAGCAACGGGUUGGAUCGUCAGGAAUGGCAUGAUCGUUCAUUCUGGAGAUUUGUCGAGGACAAAAGGUAAAGAAGAUGGUCGAGACCAACGAUUUCAACGAGAAACAGAGGCGUCAAACUCCUGCCGAGAGAUUUAUUUAUAACGCGUGAACGCGCGUCCCCGCCUUGGUACAUUAAACCGUGCACGUAUUGACGUCUCACUUGUCGUCUUUUGCACGCAAAACGAUCUCAAUGACGAAUCGCGUGCUGCAGUUCUGGCUUUCAUCGACACCCACUACGGCACCACCACGGAUUAUGUAAUUCGAAGAAGAAGAAGAAGAACAAGAAUAAGAAGAAGAUGAAGAGGACGAAGAACGUGGAAGGGUGGAACAGGCGUCUUGCAGCCAAGAAAAUUUUACAAAUAUUCGUGCGAUGGUCUGAUAAAUUCCAUCAAUCUUUAAAAAUACGCUGUUGGUCAAGUAUCUGGCAUUUAAAUGUAAUAAUUGAUAGAAGAAGUCAGUUUAGAAUUUUGAUAUGUUACAGAUGUCUUCAAAUAAUAAUUUACAAAAGUAAAGGAAAUUUCUAUCGAUUGACUGUACUGUCUAAUUGAUAACAAAGACAGUUGAAAAUUCGUAGAAGAUGAUUCCAAAUUAUGUUCAUUGAAUUUCGAGAUAUUAUUAUCAAUAUAGAGCAAUUAUUUGUGUGUCACGUGAUUUCACUGUCACGUUAAAUGCCUCGGACAUAUCUAACCCAAUUUCUGAGAAUAAAAUAUCUACGUUAAGCAUGUAGUUUCUUAAUUUAAUAUAAUCUUUCCUCGAAGAAUUUCGAUUCUAACCCAGAUUUCUUUUAGAGGAGCGAAAAAGUUGGAAGACGAUGGAGGAGGAUCGAGAGCCAGCUUCGCCUUAGAGUCGCUGAACCGAGAGGAAUGCAAGAGUGAAAAUGGAGAGUGAAAUAGCGAAGGCAAGAGAAAGAGGGAUGGAGCACACAGCACGAGGUACUCCGAAGAAUUUGGUGGCUGUACCAGAAGCAAAAGGGCUGAGGCUAUAAACGGGUUAUGUAAGAUUGAGUAGCUGCCACGUGUCGGCGGACGUCGCAUUGCUUCUGCACUUCCUGAAUUCACUUUCGCAAUCGACAGACCUAAUGCCUUUCCAAAAGUCUGGAACGUCAAAAUCUUCCAAUUUUUAAAGUCUGUAAUCCGUCAUUCUUCUUUAAAUAGUCUUUGAAAAUGAAUGGAACAUUGUUGAAAAUAUUGUUCACUGACAACUAUGAUUUUCGAGGAUUAUAUAGCCAAUAGGAUUGCUUAAAUCUUUUCAAUGUUAAUUAAUCUGGUGAUAUUUCACCUAUAUUAUAUCUUAAUUAAAAGAGAUUAAAUGACUAUAGUUUAGGAACUAAAUGAUGAAGUUUAUCAGUUUAGCAUGUGACUAAAGUAAUAAAGAGUGAAUACUUCAAAGUUAA